GUUGCUUUAGCUUUUCUCGCUCGGCUCCUAUGGGAGCGCGUCUCUCCCCAAGACGCUGUGGUAGCUCGUUCUCUAGAACUCCCUGCAGGAGGUGGCCACAAACCCAGUGUUGGGAGUGACGAUGCCCCGUUGCACCGCUGCACACAAAACUGCAUUGAUUUCAGAACUGUCUGGAGCAAUAUACACCUUCCCAGUGCAGGAGCUAGAGUGGAUGAGUCUGGGGCCAGAAGAGGAAGAUUUUCUGCAGUGACUCAAGGCAGAGCUGGCAUAUUAAGUACUGCUUAAUAUUGCUGUUCAUUUGUUUGCAAGGUGCUAGGCAAAAAAAUCCCUCCCCCAAGGAUGUGCCAGAUGAGGCUGUGGAUUUAAAUUCGUUAACAAAGAGCUGUUCUGGGAAACUUGAUUUGGAUUCGAGGAGCUCUGAGAGACUUGUUUGGAGAAACAACACCUUAAGGAGAUCUUAAGAGGACUUAUGGAGGUUGCCCGAGGAGAGCCGGAGAAUCAUUGAACUCUUCCCUCUGUGAAGAUCCAAUGAAGCAGCAGACACGAAAACACAUCACUGAAUUACACAGCUGUGCAGAUGUGGAGGACAGUCAUUAUGUUGUGGGAGAGGGUUGCUUUAUGGCCACUUUUAUUGUCACGGUUGAUUUUAAGUGGUGUAGUCUGUAUGAUCUAACUACCAUAGAUGCAGG
rnacentral:lncRNA from 1 species